UUCGACUCACCUUUCCAAUUCUAAGCUACAACUACCACAGGAGUUCAACUACACUUCAUUGAAACUACAAGUUUAGAAGAAAUGGAAUCAGAUCCAGAGAUUAACAAUCCGGCUAAUUCAAAUUCAGUUUUUAAUUCAAUACAGUCCAAACAGUGAAUCUAGCUACAAUUAAACAUGAAUAACCAAGCUACAUGUUAACAGUUAAUCAACAAUUCUACAUGAACUCAGACGAACCGCGAACAAUUCUUCAUUUAUGGAUUCCACAGGUGCUUUAUACAAGUGAGUCAGACUUCCAGAUCAAGGGACAAUGGAAGUGUACCUGAAGAUGUGAAAUAUAAGAAUAAGAAGAGGAAAUCAGCAGCAGUAAUCACAGUUAAUACCCAGCAAUCAACAUAUAGCAGCAAUAGACGUGAUUUAGAACCAAAAACUGAUUAACAAAACCCAGGAAUACCACAGCAAUCAAAAACCCAGUAAACUGACCCAAAACUGACUUGUUUGAACUCAAAACCCACUCGAAAUCAAGCCAUGAAUAAUUCUAAACUUCAACUACCAGAAUUUGAGCUAAAAAUGCAAAUCCACAAUCUAAAACUAGAAAUUAGCUAAGAGAUCGAAUGGAACAGUACCCUUUUGAUUUCACUAGAUUUUUGUUGUUUUUAGCUUCUUUUUUUUUUGAAGAAAAUAAGUUCUAAAAGGAGUUUUGGAUUUGAAUUUGAAUUUUCAGAUCUGUAGAGCUUGAAGAGUAUGUAAGGGGAAUUUUGAGGCUUCAAAAAACUUAUUAAUGAAGGCAUUGGGGCUGCCUUUUAUAGGCAACAUGAGAUGAAAUUUCAUAUUUUUUUAGUUUUACAUAUUAGUCUCUCACUUAUUAACUUGUUACUCAAAUUAGUAUACUAUGUUUCUUGCAAUUACAACUAAAGCCCUAGUCUAGAAGGUCCUAGAAGACUCUAACAUUAAUUACCAUGUUCUACUCAAUUCUAAAUGUCUAAACUAGCCCUGAACUUACACCUAAACUAUAGCUAUAACCAAACAAUUUCCAAAGUUCUAAAUUGAACUACUGAAGAGUAAUCCCAACUUAAACUAUUGUUGAAUUUAUCAAGUGAAUCAAUAACCAAAUUAAACUAUCAAUCAUAACAAAAUUCUGCUAAUUACACGACUAAUUAAACUGAAAAUGAACUAACUGGUAAUUAUCCUAAACUAAAGGAAUACCAGAACUUGAUUCAAACAAAAAUAAAACCAACUAACAGAUUAUCACAGGCUUAACUAAAAUCAGGAGUUGGAACAAAUUACAAUCAAACGAAUAACUAGAAUUAAUAAAAACAACUCAGAACACAAGAUUAAAACAUUAUUGACAAAAUUAAAACACACAUUAGACUGGAAAUUAAUCAUAGUGAGAAAUGAGCAAUAGAAGACAACUAAACAAAGAAAAGAAAAGAAAAUUGAAACUCACUGGCAUAACUUAAAAAUUCGGCUGCCUCUCGAUUUAAAAUUUGGGUGAUUCUGAUGCUAUUUGAAUGUCGUAGACACCGGAUUCUUUGUGAAGAUGAUGAGGAGAACUUAUGGUAUUGAUUUGGUAGGGUUUGGAAGAAUAAGGGUUUUGCCGGAAAUUUUAAAUUGAAAUUCGAUAGGUUCUGUCUAGAUUUGAGGGACGGGGCUUGGGGGCUCGAAAUAGGAAGGGGAGAGGAAUCUAUGGUGUUAUUUUGGAGUGGUUUGGGAAGAAUUGUGUUCUGACCAGAAAACUUCAAUCCCAGAUUCAAAACGUUUGGAUAGGAUUUGAAGGAAACGGGUUGUGGAUAUGGAAAGAGGAGGAAGAGAGGAGUGAAGGGUGUAUCUUUGGAGUGGUUUGGAGAAGGGUCGCCGGCGGCGAUGAUUUUCGACCGGUGGCAUUACACUGGGUGUUUUGAGAGGGUAUGGG
rnacentral:lncRNA from 1 species